rnacentral:tRNA from 1 species
GGGUGAGUAGCUCAGUCGGCAGAGCAGCGGCCUUUUAAGCCGUUGGCCGUGGGUUCGAAUCCCACCUCACCUACCA